rnacentral:rRNA from 1 species
CGCUGGCGGCGUGCCUAACACAUGCAAGUCGAGCGGAGUCGGUAAGAGGAAGUUUCGGAUGGAAUCUUAUUGAUUUAGCGGCGGACGGGUGAGUAACGCGUGAGCGACCAACCUUGCACAGGGGGAUAACGGACCGAAAGGUUCACUAAUACCGCAUGAGACCACGGUGUUGCAUGACACAGAGGUCAAAGGAGCAAUCCGGUGCAAGACGGGCUCGCGUCCGAUUAGGUAGUUGGAGGGGUAACGGCCCACCAAGCCUAUGAUCGGUAGCCGACCUGAGAGGGUGAUCGGCCACAUUGGAACUGAGAUACGGUCCAAACUCCUACGGGAGGCAGCAGUGGGGAAUAUUGGGGCCAAUGGGGGAAACCCUGACCCAGCAACGCCGCGUGAAGGAAGAAGGUUUUCGGAUUGUAAACUUCUGUCCUUGGUGAAGAGAAGAAGACGGUAGCCAAGGAGGAAGCCCCGGCUAACUACGUGCCAGCCGCCGC